CAGAAACUAUAAAUUAUGUAAGAGGUUAACAAGUGUUUUUUUGUUUUAUUUUGUUUUGUUUUGUUUGGGAAGAGGAGGCAAUACCCUGGUUAAAUAAAUCUAGAAAACUCCGGUUUGAACAAAACUUGUUUUCUACCAGAGUCCUCAGUAUACAAGCUUUUCCCGAAGUAACUUUAUUACGGAAUCUUCUGUUUACCAAGACUCAAGAGACGGGCGCUCCACAGGGCCCUUCGAAAACGUUCUUUUACAUACAGCCCUGGUUUUGCUACUCAACAUUUGUGACGGGGGUAUAAAAGGAGGAAAGAGAGAAAGAAAGGAUGAGUCAUGUAUCUGCUCCAAAACUGUCACUUAGGACCUACUGCAUGCCAAGCAUUCUUGGUUUUAGACACUGGAAUUACAGCAAAGAACCACACAAAAUCUCUGCCCCACACUGCAAAGGGUGAGACAACACUUUUUUUUAAAUAAAUACAUUCUCCAUUCCGGAAUGCCCUUCUGGUCAGGAAGAGUCACAGGGACUGAAUUUAUUGUUAUACACGAAACAACUAAAAAGAUAAACGGACAAACUCUAUGAAACAACAGCACAAGACGCUGGACACCAGGCACCACAGGUCAUGCGAAUGGGAUCGGACGACACGGGAGGAGGAGGACCUGGCUCCUUCUGCUCAGCAGUUUGGUGGCCCGCAUGAGCAGCUGCUCCCCCUCACUGCUGGGCAUACGCCUCCUAUGGCUGCACCGUGAUCCCGCUGUCGGACCCUGAGCUGCUUCCGUGUUUUUUGGCUAUUACGCACCUGGUCUUCCCAGGUGGUCUCCCAUCCAAGCACUAACCAGCCCCUACCCUGCUUAGCUUCCAAGAUCAGACGGGAUCCAGCUUGUUCAGGAGGUCAUGGCCGUAGACAGCAGAAGUUUUAAAUUUUCAUGAAAUAAAUU